rnacentral:rRNA from 1 species
UACGUAGGGGGCAAGCGUUGUCCGGAAUCAUUGGGCGUAAAGCGCGUGUAGGCGGCCCAGUAAGUCCGCUCUGAAAGCCCGGGGCUUAACCCCGGGAGGCGGGUGGAUACUGCUGGGCUCGAGUCCGGAAGAGGCGAGUGGAAUUCCCGGUGUAGCGGUGAAAUGCGCAGAUAUCGGGAGGAACACCAAUGGCGAAGGCAGCUCGCCGGGACGUGACUGACGCUGAGACGCGAAAGCGUGGGGAGCAAACAGG